AGCGGCAAAAGCUCAAAUUUGAAAUCUGGCGUCUUUGGCGUCCGAGUUGUAAUUUGAAGAAGGUAUCUUUGGGCCCGGCUCUUGUCUAUGUUCCUUGGAACAGGACGUCACAGAGGGUGAGAAUCCCGUGCGAUGAGAUGACCCGGGUCUGUGUAAAGUUCCUUCGACGAGUCGAGUUGUUUGGGAAUGCAGCUCUAAGUGGGUGGUAAAUUCCAUCUAAAGCUAAAUAUUGGCGAGAGACCGAUAGCGAACAAGUACAGUGAUGGAAAGAUGAAAAGAACUUUGAAAAGAGAGUGAAAAAGUACGUGAAAUUGUUGAAAGGGAAGGGCUUGAGAUCAGACUUGGUAUUUUGCAUGCUGCUCUCUCGGGGGCGGCCGCUGCGGUUUACCGGGCCAGCAUCGGUUUGGAGCGGCAGGAUAAUGGCGGAGGAAUGUGGCACGGCUUCUGCUGUGUGUUAUAGCCUCUGACGAUACUGCCAGCCUAGACCGAGGACUGCGGUUUUUACCUA
rnacentral:rRNA from 1 species